rnacentral:lncRNA from 1 species
AAUAAUUUAAUAUCUUGUUUAUAUUUUAAGAAUUCUCCAACUUGAUUUUCACACAAAUAGACUUUAAUGUUUCCUGUUGUUUUGUAUUAUCAGCUGUAAUUGUUAAUAAUUACUUCAAUGUCUCUGUAAAAUCUAACCCAUCACAUAAUUGCACUUAAUAUCUCACCUUGCUUUUGCAGUGGAUUCAGGAAGUGUAUGAGCAGUGGUUGAGGUUUUCAUUACUUUGCUCUUAUGGUAGUAACAAAUUGUCUGCAUCAGAAAUCAUAGUGAAGUGGUUGCAAAGGUAAAACCAGAAUGAAUUUCUGUUCAGGCACGUCCAUUGCUCUGUGUGGACACCUGUAUUUGUGGGAGGAAUAUCCAGCUCCUUUGACUGGCUAUGAGCAGUUCUGCCCACUGAUCAUUCAGAGUUUCUCUCCUCUGGUGAGGACAGUAAAUUGUCUCAAGAAUUUUCUUCAACAGACCUGGGAAGGUGAACUUUUUCAUUCUUUCUUUUUAUUUUAAGUUGGGUUACUUUUGCUCCCUUUAUGGCCAAUAGAGUUGACUGUGUUUGCUUUCACCUCUCUUCCACUGGGCAAGAAGCCAAACCAUGACUCUUGGUGGAGGGAUGCAGACUUUCUGGUAAAAUGGAAUAUCUGGUAGGAUAUAUAGCUUUGUCCA